CGCGUAGGUAAUCUAUCCUAAUAUUUGGGAUAACAUCGGGAAACUGGUGCUAAUACCGGAUACCCUUCAUUUCUGCCGGGUUAUGGAGGAAAGGUGGCCUCUUCAUGAAAGCUACCGUAUAAGGAUGAGCCUGCGUACCAUUAGCUAGUAGGUGGGGUAAUGGCCCACCUAGGCAACGAUGGUUAGCGGGUCUGAGAGGAUGAUCCGCCACACUGGAACUGGAACACGGACCAGACUCCUACGGGAGGCAGCAGUGAGGAAUAUUGCGCAAUGGGGGAAACCCUGACGCAGCGACGCCGCGUGAGUGAGGAAGGUUUUCGGAUCGUAAAGCUCUGUCAGAAGGGAAGAAGUGUUAUAUGGUUAAUACCCGUAUAAUUUGACGGUACCUUCAGAGGAAGCACCGGCUAACUCCGUGCCAGCCGCUG
rnacentral:rRNA from 1 species